rnacentral:rRNA from 1 species
GUGCCAGCAGCCGCGGUAAUUCCAGCUCCAGUAGUGUAUAUCAAUGUUGUUGCGGUUAAAGCGCUCGUAGUUGGAUUACAAAAGCUCGAUGGGUCCCGGCCUAAAUAGGUCCGGGAGCCGUGGGGUUUUUUUAUCGCGAGAGCUGCGUGUGGGAUUAAAUUCUUGUACGUAGUCACUUGCGGAGUGUGCCUUGAAUAAAGCACAGUGCUCAAAGCAGGCAUAUGCUCGUAUGUUAAAGCAUGGAACGAAUAUAUUGACCGUGUCGAUUGUUGGUUGUUGACGUGGUCUCGAUUAAAAGGAACAUUUGAGGGCGUUGGUACUUGGUGGCGAGAGGUGAAAUUCUUAGACCCACCAAAGACUCACAAAUGCGAAAGCAUUCGCCAAGAGUGUUUUCAUUAAUCAAGAACGAAAGUCAGAGGUUCGAAGACGAUCAGAUACCGUCGUAGUUCUGACAGUAAACUAUGCCAACAUGGGAUCAGUCCGGUGCUAUCUCGAUUGGUCCCUCCAUGAAAAUAAGUUUUUUGGUUCUGGGGGGAGUCCUCACGCAAGUGAAAAACUUAAAGAAAUUGACGGAAUGGCACCACCAGGAGUGGAGCCUGCGGCUUAAUUUGACUCAACACGGGGAAACUCACCAGGUCCAGACAUUGACAGGAUUGACAGACUAAGAGAUCUUUCAUGAUACGAUGAUUGGUGGUGCAUGGCCGUUCUUAGUUGGUGGAGUGAUCUGUCAGGUUUAUUCCGGUAACGAACGAGACCACAUUCUUUAAUUGAUUACGGUCAUUUUGUUUUGGCCAAUCUUAAAGAGACAACCGGGAUCAACCCGGGGGAAGCGUGGCAAUAACAGGUCUGUGAUGCCCUUCGAUGUUCUGGGCUGCACGCGCGCUACAAUGGCAGUGACAACGAGUGCCUGCUCUGAGAGGAGUGGGUAAUCUUGAAAAUCGCUGUCGUGAUUGGGAUUGAGCCUUGUAAUAAUUGCUCAUGAAAGAGGAAUUCCUCGUAAGCGCGAGUCAUCAGCUCGUG